rnacentral:rRNA from 1 species
AACGCGAAGAACCUUACCUGGGCUCGAAAUGCUAUGGACCGGGGUGGAAACAUCCCUUCCCCGCAAGGGGCCGUAGUAUAGGUGCUGCAUGGCUGUCGUCAGCUCGUGUCGUGAGAUGUUGGGUUAAGUCCCGCAACGAGCGCAACCCUUACUUCCAGUUGCCAUCAUUUAGUUGGGCACUCUGGCAGAACCGCCUCGGAUAACGGGGAGGAAGGUGGGGAUGACGUCAAGUCCUCAUGGCCUUUAUGUCCAGGGCUACACACGUGCUACAAUGGCCGGUACAAACCGUCGCAAACCCGCGAGGGGGAGCUAAUCGGAAAAAGCCGGCCUCAGUUCGGAUCGCAGUCUGCAACUCGACUGCGUGAAGCUGGAAUCGCUAGUAAUCGCGGAUCAGAACGCCGCGGUGAAUACGUUCCCGGGCCUUGUACACACCGAUAGC